rnacentral:rRNA from 1 species
AGCAGCAGCCACGGGAACACAGAGGGUGCGAGCGUUAAUCGGAUUUACUGGGCGUAAAGCGUGCGUAGGCGGCUUCUUAAGUCGGAUGUGAAAUCCCUGAGCUUAACUUAGGAAUUGCAUUCGAUACUGGGAAGCUAGAGUAUGGGAGAGGAUGGUAGAAUUCCAGGUGUAGCGGUGAAAUGCGUAGAGAUCUGGAGGAAUACCGAUGGCGAAGGCAGCCAUCUGGCCUAAUACUGACGCUGAGGUACGAAAGCAUGGGGAGCAAACAGGAUUAGAUACCCCUGUAGUCCCUGUCUCUUAUAA